CUGACUUCAAGAGUGAAGCUGCAGACCUUCGCGGUGAGUGUUACAGCUCAUAAAGGCAGCGUGGACCCAAAGAGUGAGCAGCAGCAAGAUUUAUUGCAAAGAGGGAAAGAACAAAGCCUCAUGGGGAGGGAGCUAAGGCCCAGCGAGAAUUCGACCACAGCGCCGGUGGGCCGUCACUGCUAGGGAACCUGGCGCACCCUCUGCACCUGCUGGCCCGGGUGCUAAGCCCCUCACUGCUUGGGGCCUGUGGUGCUGGCUGGCCCUCUGCUCCAGUGCAGGGCCAGCCCAGCCCACACCCACCCUGAACUUGCGCUGGCCCACCAGCGCUGUGUGCAGCCUGGUUCCCGCCCGCGCCUGUCCCUCCACACCUCCCCUCAAGCAGAGGGACCGGCUUCGGCCUCAGCCUCGGACUGCCCAGAAAGGGGCUCCCACAGUGCCAUGGUGGGCUGAAGGGCUCCUAAAGGACCGCCAGAGUGGACACAUGAGGCCGCGGAGGCCUCAAGAGCGAGGGCUGCUAGCGUGUUGUCACCUCUCAAAACCAUGCAAAAUUUGGAAAGAAAAAGUAAGUGAACUCAUCUAUGCUCAUGUAAACUAUUGUAUUAGUUUCCUGUUGUUGCUAUAACAAAAUACCACAAACUUGAUGGCUUAAGACCACAAAAAUAUUUAUCUUACUGUUCUGGAAUUCAGAAGUCCAAAAUGGGCCUCACUGGGUUAAAUUUAGGUGUCUACAGGGCUGCAUUCCUUCUGGAAGAUCUGUGGGAGAAUCCAUUUCAUUGCUGUUUCUAGCCCUAAAGGCUGUCCUGUCUCUUGGCUGUGUUUCCCUUCCAUCUUCAAAGCCUCCAAUGGCUGACUGAAUCUUUUUCAUGCUGCAUCACUCUGAAUCUGACCCUUGCGGCUCAUCCUCCACACCGAAAGAACACUUUUAAUUACAUACGGCCUAACCAGAUACUCCAAGACAGACUGCUUACUUUGAGGUCAACUGAUUAGCAAUCUUAAUUUUCCCUUUCCAUCUAAUAUAUUCACAGGUUUGAAGGAUUAGAAUGUGGACAUCUUUGGAGAGAGGAUCAUUCUUCUCCCUUCCACAUCUACCUUCUAUGCGUUUUUCCAGAGUUGAAAUACUAUAUAUGUAAUUUGUUUAGCAUUGUCCACCUACACUUGUGGUUUGAAUUUUCUCAUGUUAGUGCUUUUCAGUGAAUAUUUUUUCACAGUCACAGAACACUAUAUGGAAAGAAUUUACCAUCGUUUUCCUACCCAUUCACCUAACAUUGGCCACUUAACUUAUUUAAAAAUAUGUAUUGUAUAUGAGUUGUGUGACAGGUGCCCUGCAAAUAAAUGGAAUUUUAGUCAUUGAUAAGACAAAGUCUCUGCCUUUGGGGGAACUAAUGGGAAAGAGAGGAAGAAAGAAAGUAAGGGAUUAGUCAGAGUAUAAAUUUAUUAAAAUUCUGAUGUGGGCAUGACAGUGGAGAACAGGUUACCAUAAAAAUGGAAAGAAUAUUUCUUAAAUGGAGAGUCAGGCAUGGUUUCCCUAAUAAAGUGACAUGUUUGCUGGGGCUAGAGGGUGAAGAGAUUUAUCCACUUUAGAAGCCAGGGAAAGAGUGUUUGAGGCAAAACAACAAAAAGCAACAAUAACAACAAAAAGAACAAGAGUAAAACAACAAUAACAACAAGCAGAACACGAGUAAAGACCCAACGUCAGGAAGCUGCUUGGCUCAGUGGAUGAGUAUGAAGUGAGACAAACUGGCAGGUGUUUGGUAAGAAAAAUGGCUCAGGAUGAAGACAGAGAGGUGAGAAAAAGCCAUCUCAUAUAAGACUUCGUAUGCCAAGGUAAUAAUAGUGGAUUUCAUGUUAGAAACAAGGAAAGCUAUAGAAGAAUUUUAAUCAAAGGAGAAACACAAUAUGAUUGUAUUCAAAAUGAUCCCUCUGGCUAUAGCACUUCCUCUCAAACCCUUCUAAAGUAUAUACAGCAGAAGGAGAGAUGAGGAGGUGGGGACCAUAUUGAGAAAUAUUCACAGAUUUGUAGAUAGAGGAGAUGGUCAGGAUGGUGGGAGCCACUGAAAGGUUGGUGAUGCCAUGAUUCCAUUUACUAGGACUAGUAUAGACUGAAAGAAAGCUGUUAUAGUAGGAGGACUGAGUACAAUUUUGGACGCAUUAUAUUUCAGAGGUUUCUGGGUCAUAAACAUGGAGGUUCCAAUGAGAAGUUUAUUAGUAUAGUCAAGGCCUGAUGUUUCCUGUGGACUGGAGCUUUAUCUGUGGAAGCUUUGUAGACAGCAACCAUAGGCAUGGAGAAAACUAAAAAGGAAAAAGGGAAAAGGUUGCUUCUUAUUUCAGCUCUUAAGAGGAACAAUUUUUUAAAAUUGCAUGAAUCAUUGACCCCUUUUUGUAUCAUUUAGAACAUUACCAAGUCGAGGGUAUAAAUAUUUUAAUGUUGAAAUGAAGCUUAAAUGACAAACAGGCAGACAGAUUUAAGGAAGGAUAUUCCAGGGAGACAGAAUAACAUGGGCAAUGGCCAAGAAACAUGGAGACGCACAUUGUUCAGCAGAGUUUAGAAGUGUGAUAUGACAAGGCCCAGGUUCUAAAAAUUCUGUUCUAAAAAUUUUACACUUAUUAAAUCAACGAGUCUGUGAGGUAAUUACUAUAAUUACCUCAUUUUAUAGAUGAGACAACUGAGGCACUAAGAAGAUAAGUAGCUUUUGCCAGUUAUAUUGUUAGGAAAUUGUGCUAGAAUUCAAGCCCAGGCAGGCUGUAUUACAUAAUGGACAACUGCUAUUGCCAAGUACUCUUCUAAUUACUCUCAUUUAGUGGUGACUGUUUCCCUUUUCAUCCUAAUGAAGUCUGCCAACAUUAUCCAUCCCCACUGCUAUAGGAGUGGGCAAAACACCCAAGCUGGCCUUAUCAGUAUUUUUUUUAGAGGUUUUAAAGUUGGAAAAAAAGAACAAAAUAUUUCUGCUCCUCUGAUAGCAAAGCUAGUGAAAUGUGCAAAUGGCUAUGGUUCCAACCUAGUAGACAUAGCCAUGGUGAAUUUGUAAACUUAACCUACUGAGAGAAGCAGAGAUGAGAUCCAGUGAGCCUCCUGGUGGUACUUAAAUCCCCAACUCACUCCAGUCCUGUUGGGGCAAGACUUCCUUUUCAGCAAUUUGGUCAUGUGAAUCACAAAAUGCCUAAGCCUGUCUGAGUUGGUUACGAUGAUUUGUGGUCAAAAGUGUUUUGACUAAUAUAUGGCUGAUUUAUUGCAGUUAAAACAGCAAUUGGCAUGGGUAGACUUGUGUUUAAGAAAGGUAACACUUGCAAGAGUGUGAAAAGUGCAAGACUGGAGACAGAAAGAAUAAUUGGACUAUUUCUGUAACUCCAGUGAAUAGUGAAGAAGUGGGCUAAAGCAUCAGCACUGAGGAUGCUUUAGUUUACUUCUUCAAUAUUUAGUCCACUUCUUCAUGUUCUCCACUGAGGAAGUGAAGAAAAUGAUAUAAAACACGUCAGUAUGGUAAUACUGAUUGAAUUUUGUUACUGGAUGGAAAGGGUCAGAGUGAGGGAGGAAAUGCACAGGUUUACAGCUGGAGAAGUAUGGUAGAUAGAGUAUCAUUUAGGCAGUAAUAGUUUGAAGGUGGUAGAGGAAAUGAUGAAUCCAAUUUUACUUAUCCAAUGGUAGAUAUCAUCCAAUUUUACAUAUAAGUGAUGUCCAGAACACACUUAUAUACAGUUGACCCUGGAAUAGCAUGGGUUUGAACUACACAGGUCCACUUAUAUAUGGAUCUUUUUUCAACAAAAGUUAUACCAAGUAUACCUGCCUCUUCUCCUGCCUCCCCUUCUACCUGCUUCACUUCUGCCUCUGCUACCCCUGAGACCCCAAGACCAACCCCUACUCAUCCUCCUCCUCAGCCUACUCAGCGUGAAGGCAAUGGGGAUGAAGACCUUUAUGAUAAUCUGCUUCCACUUAAUCAAUAGUAAAUAUAUUUUUCUAUUUCUUGUGACUUUCUUGACAUUUUAUUUUUGUUGUAAGAAUACAGUUUAUAAUACAUCUAACAUGCAGAAUAUAUGUUAAUUGGCUAUGUUAUCAGUAAGGCUUCCAGUCAAUGCUCAGUUAUUAGUUGAUAAGUUCUUGGGGGAGUCAAAACUUAUAUGUGGAUUUUUGACUGUGUAGGGGAUCGGCACCCCAGUCCUUGUGUUGUUCAAGGAUCAAGUGUAUAUCGAUGUGAAGAGAGACGUAUGCUUGGUAUAUAUUGGUUUGGCAAUCAUCAGUGUGUUGGUCUUAGAAUGUGGAACGCCAUUAUUGAUCCUUCCUAAAGUAGUUUUAAUGGCAAGGAAGGCACAGAAGCCUGAUUUCGUACUUGAAGAGUGAAGGGAAAUCUUCUACUUAGACAUAGAAGACUGAGUUCAUAUAUGUGUGUUUACUUCCUCUCAAACCCUUCUAAACUAUUAGCAAAGAAUUAAAACCUACAAGAAAAAGUGAUGGGGAAAGGAGGGGAAAAGUAAGGUCUAUGACAUUUGGGAAGUGAAAUGUAAGAGAAACAUGGUGAUCAGAGCAUAGGAAGCUUGUAACUAACUGAAGAAGGAAGGUCCUGCAAGAAAUAAACGUUUUACCUCUGGGCCCUGGAAUUGGAGGCAACAAGAAUCACUGAAACAAGGAAGAGGAAAGAAGGUUGAAAUUCUGCAGCAGCAAUUUGUCUUUCAGAUUUCCUCCACAGCCAAGUGACAACUCCUCCUAAAUCCUAAUAUAAAGCAGGAGGCUUACCUACUGGUAAGAUUAAAUCAGAAAUAUUCUAGACUUCAGGAUAUCAGACACAGUAGAGGGCCUGAAAACAAGGUAAUUGAUGAAAAAUCUGGGUACCAAAUAGAAAAGCCAUCAACUCCUUCUUUACCCAGGAUGCUAUAUCCAAGCUUUUAGUUCUCCAGACAGGAGCAUAAUAGAUUCCUAUUUAAAGGAAGACAUGUGUAUAUGGGAAUGAGGGGUAUAGAAUUAAUUUCUAAAUAGUGACAUUUGAAGCUUGUUGAAAACAUUCAGGUCCUACCCAAUUAUUCUAAGACCUGUGAUCAAGUAAACUCUACCUAGUCACACAAACCUCACUCUCUACUCUUUAAGCCUCACUUUAACAUACAAAUUGCUAAGUAUUCCAGGGAAUUUGAGAAAUUCCUUUAAUGCAAGACAGAGGAAAAUGGGAAAAUCAGGAAUAAUCACUCAGAAAAACUGAAACAUUCACAAUACAGUUAGCAAAAGAAAAACUUUAAAAAGCAAUAACUGAUAUGCUCAGAGGAAAAAUAAAAGACACAGGAAAGAUGAAUAGGAUGAAAUUUAGAAAGAACAUUUAGUGAACAAAAAGAUUUUUAGAUAUGAAAACACGUGAUUCUGGAAAUUUAAAAAAAAUGUAAGGAUUAGAAAUUAAAAGUGAGAAAAACAUAGAAACAGCUAAUAAGAAAACAAAGGAGAAUCAUAAUAGGCAAGAAAAUUGAGAAAAGUAAACCAAGUAGUCUAGAAUUCUAAUUUAUACAAUAAAUGUUUAUUGAGCAUUGUUAUGUGUCUUGCAUUGUUCUAGGUACUAAGGAUAUCACAGCAGAAUAAAAUAAAAUCCUAUGCUCAGGAGUUCCGAUGAGACAGAAUUGAGAAAAUGGAAAAAGUUACACUUAAAUGGUGGCUAGAAACAAAGACCACAGAGAAGAUUGAAGAGGGGCCAGAUUUCUGAGGGAAACCAACAAAGCAUGGCUUCAUGAAAGCAAAGGAUACUGUGAGUAGUUUCAAGGAGAAAGUGAUCAAAUUUCACUAAUAGACCACUCAACUGUUUGAUAAUUAGCAAGCCCUAAUUGACUUGGUUUAGAUUUUUUUUUUUUUUUGAAGAGGUUGAUUUAAAAGCUUGUUUUCAGUUUUCUAAAUAAAUGAGAGGUAAGGGAGUAAACUCAAUUUGUGGAGAAACUAGAUAUUUAAGAUGUUAGGAGACAAAAUCAGGAAAGGUAAGUCAAGAUUUUUGUUUGUUUGUUUCAGGAUCAGAGAGACUUAAGGGAAAUAAUUAGAAAAGAGAGACAAAAAGAGAAGACCCUGAAUAAAAAAGAAAUAGGGGAGGAACAUUUCAAUAGGAUAGCAUCCAGAGUACAGACUGAGCCAUUUGAAGUGAGAAUAUCAUUGUUCACUUAUGCUAUGAGGAUAAAAGUACAGGUUGGUGCCAAAAAUCCAGCAAUCCAUCAACUUUAUGAACUCUACUUCUGUUAUAUUCUAUUUUCGAUGAACCAGUCAUUUCUUUUUUUUCUCUCAAUUCUUGUUUUAUUCAUGGUCUUUUUCAUGUGCACACUUUUAAAUCUUUAUGACAACUGUGAAGUUGAAAUCACAGGCCUUGCCUGUUUGUCUUUCUAAUUUCCAGUUUCUGUGUGUAUGUUAGCCACAUGAAAAUCUUUGAAGAAAAUUCUGCAGAUAGCUCAAACUAUGCAUCAUUAAUACCUGGUCUAGAAUGAAACUAAAUUUUGAAGCAUUGGCUGAUGACCCUUAUAGAAGUCAGACAAAUCAAAACAACUGAGUUUAAGGUUUUAAAUGUGCGUAUUGUGUUGUAAUUUUACAGCCUGAGCAGAUGAUCUACAACCUGGCCUCAAAGAUCUGCAUGCAAUAAAUUGCAAGAUGGACCUUAUUUAUUUAUUUAUUUUUUUAAACUUCCAAAUGUGGAAGGGAUGAGUCAGCCUAUCUGAGAUUUUAAACUGCCAGUUCCAGGGACACUGCACAACUCCAAGCCAUUGCUUCCAGCAAAUUACUAUUAAAAAUAUUUUCUGCUAGGCAGGACUGCCUAAUGUGUGAACCUUGACCAGUUUCUUUUAAGUGAAAGUAAAUAUUAGAAAGCAAAAACAACAGAAUUACUACUGAAGGGCAGGAGCAAGGUUAUUUCCUUCAUGUGGUUUUGAAAAUCUGUUUGUUUUAAUAGCCUUGAUGUUUUACAAGAAGAGUCAGAUAUAAUUCAUUUUACCAAGGACAAGAUGAAGUUGAAUCAAUUUUCUCUCUAAAAAACCUAAUAAUAUGCAAAUUGAUAUAUAAAUGUCAGUGAAUAUACUGUGGAUAGGCACCUACAAGGUAUUAUGUUUGUACAGAUAUCAAGGACAUGAUAUUGUUCACAUAAUUGCAAAUAUUUAUAUACAGUAGAAUGAAAAGGAUAUUUAAAAAUAUAGGAAAGUAUGAAAAUUUUGACAUGAUAUUUUAAAGUCUUCUAAGAUACAUGUUGAAAAUGAGUGCACUGAUCAUUUAUUUAUAUGUCAUUUUAGUAAUGAGAGUACUAGAAAAUAUUUGCCUCUGAGCAUAAACAUUUGGUUUAAUGAUUCUUAAUUAUAAUUUGAACUGCAAUACAAAUGACUAUGUGUAAAGAAUAUCAUUAAUGAAUUAGUUAACAUAAAGAGAAGUGUAGGUCACUGCUCACAGUAGGAGCUCAGAAAUUGUUAGCUGGAUUUGAACAACUUAAAAAUAAGAAGAAAAAAGUUUUAAGCCCUCCUAUAAACAAAAGAUACUCCCUGACAGGAGCCCAUUCUUUUUUAGUUUGAUUAAAAGAUCUUCCUAGGCUUUGGGGUAGUUGUUUUUCCUCCUUUAAAUUUGUCAGUAUUCCUUCAGUUUUCUCCAUUAUUAGAUGUUAUUUUAUCACUAUGAUCAGAAAAAAUGAUUUUGGAAAGACAUAUUGUAAAAUUUCACUUCCUUACAUGGGAUUUUACUUUAAAAUUGGAUUUUUCAUGGAGCAUAGAAAUACCCAUUGCGUGAAUCUAUCUACUGUUAUAUCUCCAAACACUUCCCUUGAUAGAAUGAAUGGAAUGCCAUAUACAAUACAUAAGUGCACAACAUACCAUGAGCUUAAAAAUAAAACAUAUUUAGAAAGAACUACUAAAAUUACAAUAUAAUAUUUUUAAUGCUACCAUUCAUGGGCUUAGUCUACCUGCAUCUUUCUGAUGUCUGCAUUUCCCCUCUGCUAUCUGAAAACAGAUUUUAAAUUGCAUUUACCAAACUCAUUCACACUUCAGCUAACUUAUAUUGUCUUUCAGUGUAUCUUUACUACACUUUGUAAAAACUUGUAAAAAUAUCUGUAAUUGUUGACCACCAUUACACACUUUGUGAGAUAUAGCCAAGUAAACAUAUUUUAGGCUAUAUGCAUGAGAAGUUAUUUCUUUAAAAACAACCUUAUUUGUUCUGUCUUAUCAAAUACUCAGUCAAGUUCUAUUAAACCAAUUUUAUUCUAGUGAAGGUCAGUGUAUACACACACCUAUAUGGGGAAUAGACACAAAAACCCUUCCAGAGCUAGAAGCAAACUGUUUCAGUUUUCUAUUAUUUCUUAACAAAUACCUCAAUACAGCAUUUUCAAAACACAAUCGUUUUAUUUGCUCAUGAUUCUGCAACUUUGGCUGGGCUCAACUGAAUGGUUCUUAUGUCGGUCUUGCUGGUGGUAACUUAUGUGAUUGUACCAGUUGAAAGAUUAACUAGGGAUCUGGGAUCAACUGGCCCUUGAGACAACAGGGCUUCUCUUUUUGCCCUGCCAUGUAAUUCCAAAGCCACUUCUUUCCAUGUGGCCACUCCAAAGCGGGAUAGAUAUAUUUCUUACAUGGUAAUUUAGGGCUCACCGGAAUGUAAAAAUUUAGACUUGGAACUGGUUAUGGUUAAAGUGAAGUGCAGAUUCAUGGGGAAAGAACUACACAAGGCCAUGAAUACUGGAAGCUGUGGUUCACUGGAGGAUGCCUCCAGUGACACUAAGUUCAAGAUAGAGUGUGUAUUCUCACUGCCCUUAUGGGGCACUACAUGUCACCACAGGAAUGUUGGUUAUGCCCAACAAGGUGGAUGAACCCAUUGCAUGAAUUUAGAUAAGUGAGUGAAAUGGUCAGGUAGGUCUCUUGGGUAGCACUUGGAGAAUGGAUUUCAGAACAAGACUAGAGUCAAUGAGACCAAUUCAACAGUAGUGCCAUAAUUGAGAUGAGAAAUGAUUUGAGCCUACAUCUAGGUUACUAUUUUCCCCAUAAACUUUCCUUUGGCCUCCUAACUUGAAGAGGGUAAAGAAAUAAGUAUAUAGGGGAAAAGAAAAAUUUUGCGUAAUUCUGUGGCUAGUAACACUAUUCACUCAGAUGAGGGAGGCAGAGGAAACACUUUUUAAAAAAUAUCUAUUAAAGUUGAUGUUUCUAUUGGUGUUCAGGUAUAAGUAUGUAGGAGUCAUAUGGUUGUGUGGAUUUGGAUCAAGAGAAGGAUCUAGGACACAGAUGAAGACUGAAGGGUCAUUAGUCUUUCAGGCUUUUGGAAAUGCUGUACUCACCAAAAAAAAUGCAUAGAACAGUGUUUCUUAAAAAGGAAGGUGGCAUGUAUCAGGGUCCAGUAGGGAAAAUUGCCAACUCUAUGUUCUAAUACUCUUCCAGGCCCCAGCAUUGCAAGGGUAGGGUAGGAGGCAAGUAUACUAGGAACAGGCUCCUAGGUGCUGCUUUACCUUUUUCUUCCAGGGGAUAUAGGUAUUGACACAAUUUUAAAAGCUCCCCAGGAGAUUCUGCUGUACAUCGAGGAUUAAGAAUCACUAAAGGAAAGUGAGGAGGGCGUAAGGGUGAACAUUUCAUCCAGAGCAACAAAAGUCAAAAGAGCAAGGCCAAACCCGAUAUUGUAAUAUUUAGAUGGCAACUACAACUAUUUUAAAAAAAAAUCUGUCACAGAUUAAAGGACAAAUUUUGUAUAUAUAAUUUCUGUUAAGGUCCCAUAGCCAUUCAUUGGGUUUUUCAACAAUUGGUCUACCUUCCACCAUGUAAGAAUUCAACAGCCACUGUUUUUCUAGAGACGUGUGUUUUCAGUUUUUCACAUUGGUCUAGUGAUGGAAUAUGAUCAUAUCCUGGAGUGGUUCAAAUAUACUUUUUUGUGCUUCUCUAGUUUCCUUUUUGGUGACAAUUUUACCAUUUUUCAAUCAUGCAGCAUUUCCUGUGCUUGCUCUUUUCUCUUUUCCUCCCUUGACAUCCUACCCCAUCCUUCUGAAUUUGUGCAUCCUUCAAGAAUAUUUCCUGUCUUCAAGUCAUUUUCCUCCUCAGGUUUCUAGAUGUCUACUUUAACUUUAGCUUCUUUCUGUUUGUUUAAUAGCGAAUCACUUACCAUAUACAUCCAAUUCAGGUCUAACUGGAUUCUGUAUGGCAAGUUAAAUUUAAAAGGAUAAUGGCAGAAUUCUUUAUUGGGUUUUUAAGAUUGCUCCUAAUAUCCAUCCAUCUAGUCAUCUCUUUUUACUUCACAGAUUUAAUCAAUCAGUUAGUGGAGUGAAAACGCCGAAUCCUAUGGAUUUCUCCUCAACCUCUCUGUGCUUCAGUUCUUCAUCUGUAAAAUGGAGACAAUUUCAGCAUCUUCUUCAUAGGGUUAUAGGAGACACUAGAUGUAAAGCUCAUACAACAAUAGCAGCCAGUUAGUGAGUGUUCAAUAAAUAUUAGUUAUUAUCAUGACUUCUUAAUUAUAACUCACCUUCUUCUAAAGUUUAAGUCACUUUUCUAAAUAAAUUGACCAGUGUAUAAUUAACAGAAGGAAGUAUGCAAGCCCAUACACUCAUACACACACACACACACACACACACACACACACACACACGUUGAUUUGAGUGAUGAUUACACAGGCAUAUACAUUUUGUAUACUCACAAUUUAUGUAUUUUCUAUAUGGAAAUAAUACUUCAAUAAAUUACUUGGGAAAAAAUGUAAUUAGAGGCAGAAUAAGAGAGUCGUUAAGACUACAGGUUCUGGAACUAGACUUCUGUUCAAUACUGGCUCUGGCACUAACUAGUUGUGUGAUUUGAGGCAGGAAUUAGCCUUCGUUAUCCCAAUUUCCACAGUAGUUAAACCUGGAUAAAAGUAUGUAUCUCAAAGAGUUGUUGUGAGGAUUAAAAGAUAUAAUUUAAAAUACUGCCUACUACAUCUUAUAUAGUAUAUAAAUGUCAGCUAUUGUUUUAUCAUUCUGUAUCCUGAUAAACUGCAAUAUUAGUUUGACGAAUGUAUCAAUGCUUUAAAAAAGAUAGUAUAUAUUUUCUUAAAAUAAAGACAUUAUACAUUUCUAGGCUAUGUAUCCUUUUCUGUGUAUAUCCCAUAUCUAUACUUAGUUAGUAUGUUUCUUCAUGAACAGAAUAAGAUUUAUAGCUUUUUGUUACUUCUGUGUAUCUCUAGCAUUUAAUCUGAUGCCACUUUUAAUAAGAGCAAAGUUAGCAUUCAUUGACUCUGACUGAACAUUAAGGUCAUAUCAGAUAACAAGAAAACACUUUUUAUUAGAAAAACUAAUUAAAUUGAAUAUUCACAACUACUAGUGAAAAUUGUGUGUUACUGAUUUAAAUCACAUUGACCCAAAGCAUAAUGAUUCCUUUAGCAGCAAAUUUUAAAAUUUUAUGAAAAUAAGUUUGUGAGAAGUAAACAGAUUUUAUUGUAACCUCAACUAUUCUACUCAACUCUUCAGAUCCCAGAAAAUUAUAGUAAUACUAAAUUGGAAUAAUGUCAGAUGAUGGAAAAUUCAGAUCCACAUGGAUAAUUGUCUCAUAAGUAGAGAGUGGCUAUGAUUCUGGAGCUUUAAACAUUCAAAUCUAAAAGACAAAUGUCCCAGGGUUUUAUAAUGACUCACGCAGUAACUUUUUCACUAUAAAUUUACAUUAUUUAAAUUGAAUUUUAAUACAAAGUGCGAAAUACGAUUUAACAGUUAUUUAUGUGAAUUAGAAUAAUUUCUUCAGUGCUUUAAAAGAAAAUGUACAAGCUUUGAUAUUCUUCAAUUAAGUUAUCAAAUAACAAUGUUGGCAAUUCUUUCCUUUUUAAUAUUAGCUGUAAAAUAAAGGGUAAAAGAAUGCCACUUUACUUCCGGUUUUGGAACUGAGAACUGAACAUGACCAUUAUACCCUUACCAUUUAUUAUAUGCCAUUACUAUUUCUUAUGCAUACCAACUACUUUUCAGUUCCUAUACAUGGAAUGUGUGGAAAUUUUCUUCUUUAAUUUGACAUUUCUAUUGUGGGGUAAACUGGUGUGGAGUAUUAAAAUACUAUAGAAACAGCCAUCUAGAAAGUGAUAAGAUGAUAUGCAACAGAGAUAAGGGCAAUUUUAGACAUCAAAAAGCUUUUCCUUGGCUAUUGAUUGAAGGAAACCUGAUUUUGAAAAAAAAAAAUAUCCAUAGGAAAAAAUGUGUGAUGUUUGUGUGGUGGUGGUGAGCCAGUUACUCCAGUACAAGUUAUUUUUGAGACAGUAUUGUAAACAUUAUUGGUCACAAAAAGAAUAACAAUGGAAUUAGGGCUCAUCAAACACUAAUAAAGGUAUGUUUCCUAGUAAAGGAUGUAUUUCACCCAUGGUAGUGUAAUGAUAAAUCCCAUUUUCAGGUUAAGACUACAUCUGGAGUGUUGAAACUUGGAGCCACUUUCUAAGAGGAUAAAUGGGAGGAUAAGAAGUCUUUAACCAUUUCUAUUGAGGAUAGGCUGCUGUAAUUACCUUAGAAAACAGGAGGCUUACCAGGUGGCUAUGAGAAGGCAGAAGUUGAACAUUGGUUCUACCUGGGUGAUGAAUUAGAAGUAGAAAAAAAUGAGAGGCAAAGACAGCUCCUAGAAGUGAAACCUCUUACACCGAGUAUGGUGUAAGUUGCCCGCAAAGAUGUGAGUUCCCAAACGCUGUGAGUACUUUAUCAGAGGUUGGGUGGCUCCACACCAGGGACUAAGGAUUCCUGCUUGGGAGAAAAGAGUAGAAGACUCUUGAGCAACUCUCUGAUGGAUAGUUUGUGGGGAAAGUAUUCCUUGAUAUAUUCUUUCUAACUAGGUAUAAAGAAUUGGAGCCACUAUUUGUUGAUUUUAGAAAUACCAAAAAAAAAAAA